rnacentral:rRNA from 1 species
UCAUAUGCUUGUCUCAAAGAUUAAGCCAUGCAUGUCUAAGUACACGCCCUAGCAAGGCGAAACCGCGAAUGGCUCAUUAAAUCAGUUAUGGUUCCUUAGAUCGUACACGACUACUUGGAUAACUGUGGUAAUUCUAGAGCUAAUACAUGCAGCUGAGCCCUCGACCUUUUUGGGAGAGGGUGCUUUUAUUAGACCAAGACCAGACGGGCUCGUCCCGAUAGUCGUGGUGACUCUGGAUAACUAUGGCGGAUCGCACGGUCCUUGUACCGGCGACGCAUCUUUCAAGUGUCUGCCUUAUCAACUGUCGAUGGUAGGUUAUGCGCCUACCAUGGUUGUUACGGGUAACGGGGAAUCAGGGUUCGAUUCCGGAGAGGGAGCCUGAGAAACGGCUACCACAUCCAAGGAAGGCAGCAGGCGCGCAAAUUACCCACUCCCGGCACGGGGAGGUAGUGACGAAAAAUAACAAUACGGGACUCUAUCGAGGCCCCGUAAUUGGAAUGAGUACACUCUAAACCUUUUAACGAGGAUCUAUUGGAGGGCAAGUCUGGUGCCAGCAGCCGCGGUAAUUCCAGCUCCAAUAGCGUAUAUUAAAGUUGUUGCGGUUAAAAAGCUCGUAGUUGGAUCUCAGUCGUGCCCUCGUCGAUACGCCGCAAGGCGUGAUUCGGCAGGGUCGGCAGCACGUCGGUCGCCUCGAUUGGCCUUAAAAAGCUGACCGGGUUGUCCGACACCUUUACUUUGAAAAAAUUAGAGUGCUCAAAGCAGGCCGAUGCCUGUAUACUGGUGCAUGGAAUAAUGGAAUAGGACCUCGGUUCUAUUUUGUUGGUUUUUGGAACACGAGGUAAUGAUUAAGAGGGACAGACGGGGGCAUUCGUAUUGCGGCGCUAGAGGUGAAAUUCUUGGACCGCUGCAAGACGAACUACUGCGAAAGCAUUUGCCAAGAAUGUUUUCAUUAAUCAAGAACGAAAGUUAGAGGUUCGAAGGCGAUCAGAUACCGCCCUAGUUCUAACCAUAAACGAUGCCAACCAGCAAUCCGCCUGAGUUCCUCAAACGACUCGGCGGGCAGCUUCCGGGAAACCAAAGUGUUUGGGUUCCGGGGGAAGUAUGGUUGCAAAGCUGAAACUUAAAGGAAUUGACGGAAGGGCACCACCAGGAGUGGAGCCUGCGGCUUAAUUUGACUCAACACGGGGAAACUUACCCGGCCCGGACACCGGAAGGAUUGACAGAUUAAUAGCUCUUUCUUGAUUCGGUGGGUGGUGGUGCAUGGCCGUUCUUAGUUGGUGGAGUGAUUUGUCUGGUUAAUUCCGA